UCGAACGAGGUAGCAAUACCUAGUGGCAGACGGGUGAGUAACACGUAGUCAACCUACCCUUUAGUGGGGGAUAACUAGCCGAAAGGUUAGCUAAUACCGCAUACGAUCGUCGGGCGGCAUCGCCUGACGAUGAAAGCAGCAAUGCGCUAAGAGACGGGACUGCGUCCCAUUAGUUAGUUGGUGGGGUAACGGCCUACCAAGACUCCGAUGGGUAGCUGGCUUGAGAGAGCGACCAGCCACACUGGAACUGAGACACGGUCCAGACUCCUACGGGAGGCAGCAGUGAGGAAUUUUCCGCAAUGGGGGCAACCCUGACGGAGCGACGCCGCGUGUGGGAAGAAGGCCUUCGGGUCGUAAACCACUGUCGAAGGGGACGAUAUUGACGGUACCCUUGGAGGAAGCCCCGGCUAACUACGUGCCAGCAGCCGCGGUAAGACGUAGGGGGCAAGCGUUGUCCGGAAUCAUUGGGCGUAAAGCGCUCGUAGGCGGAUUUUUAAGUCGGCGAAGAAAGACCUCGGCUCAACUGAGGGAACGGCGUCGAUACUAUUGAUCUUGAGGUAAUCAGAGGAUGAUGGAAUUCCCGGUGUAGCGGUGAAAUGC
rnacentral:rRNA from 1 species